GAUGAAGAACGUAGCGAAAUGCGAUAAGUAAUGCGAAUUGCAGAAUUCCAGUGAGUCAUCGAAUCUUUGAACGCACAUUGCGCCCGCCAGUAUUCUGGCGGGCAUGCCUGUUCGAGCGUCAUUACAACCCUCAGGCCCCCGGGCCUGGCGUUGGGGAUCGGCGGAAGCCCCCUGUGGGCACACGCCGUCCCUCAAAUACAGUGGCGGUCCCGCCGCAGCUUCCAUUGCGUAGUAGCUAACACCUCGCAACUGGAGAGCGGCGCGGCCAUGCCGUAAAACACCCAACUUCUGAAUGUUGACCUCGAAUCAGGUAGGAAUACCCGCUGAACUUAAGCAUAUCAUAAGCGGAGGA
rnacentral:misc_RNA from 1 species